rnacentral:lncRNA from 1 species
UAAUUUUAUACAUAGCCCCCAUUUUACUCACUAUAGCCUUCUAAUUUAAAAAAUAAUAAAAUAAUAAUAUUUUUUACUAUUUUGCCCUUUAACUCUUAAAUUAAUUAUCAAAUAACUAACUACUUUAAUUUUGGAGUAAUAUUAAUUAACGAAGUAAAUAUCCAAUAUUUCGUAGUCUUUAAUAAUUUUCUACUUUUUUUCUUCUGAGGGAAAUCCCCUUCUACAUUCGAUAGCCCUUAAUCCUUAAUCAAACGAAAAAAAAAACAAAAACAAAAACAAAAAUACAUCCAUCACUCCAUAGCCCCCAUUCGUAUUCGAUCUUCUUCUAAUUUCAAUGCAACUAAUUAGCAAUCGGCAAAUCCCUUUCGUACAUUUCCUUUGUCAUUGAUUUAUCAUUUGCUAUUCUUGUCAUACAUCACUUUAACUGCGCAUAUAUCUAUAAAUCUCAUCAAAUAAUAACUUAAUC